CUUAUUUUACAAUAAAACAUUGCAAUUUAAAACCUGCUGUUAUGUCACAGCAAGGUCUGUAAUAUCACAGCAACACAGUGAAAAAAAAUAAGGAUUUCACAGCAGCAAACAGUAUUAUUGCAGUGAAAUACUGUAGCCUAUGCCCUGGGAAGUCAUGUGACAUAACCGAACUGUUGCAGGCUCCGUCGUCUCCCGCCGCCUCUUCUAUUUCGGGCUUAACGGAGAAGGUGCUUCCUGGGCAUCAAUCCCGAAAGAGGAUCGAAGACCAAGAAGAGGACCACAAUGAACCCUCAUAUUAGCACCCUAUUGAGGAAACUAAUUGACUUUGAGUGGGCGUCAUAGUGUUUUUUAGCAGUGGUAACGUUACUUGUCAGGCUCCACAGUUAAAAGUUUGCACAAUGUCUCUGCAUUUUCUGCAUUUUAAAAUGGCUUUUAUGAAAACAAUCUUAAAGUUGAAAUUCUAAAAAAAAUUAAUUUCUUAAAUUCUUGCUGUACAUUGAAACAUAUGUGUUAAUAAAUAUGCCAUUGGGCUAACAUUGA